CCAAACCCCUGUGAACAUACCUAUAAUUUGCCUCGGCGGACUCAACGACGGUGCUCCGAGAAAUCGGGCGCCGCUCGCUGCCAGAGGAACCCCAAACUCUAUGUAUUCUUGUGGAUCUUCUGAGUAAAACAAAACAAAUAAAUCAAAACUUUCAACAACGGAUCUCUUGGUUCUGGCAUCGAUGAAGAACGCAGCGAAAUGCGAUAAGUAAUGUGAAUUGCAGAAUUCAGUGAAUCAUCGAAUCUUUGAACGCACAUUGCGCCCGCCAGUAUUCUGGCGGGCAUGCCUGUUCGAGCGUCAUUUCAACCCUCAAGCCCCCGGGCUUGGUGUUGGGGAUCGGCGAUAGUCGCCGUCCCCCAAAUCUAGUGGCGGUCUCGCUGUAGCCUCCAUUGCGUAAUAGCUAACACCUCGCAACUGGAACGCGGCGCGGCCAAGCCGUUAAACCCCCAACUUCUGAAUGUUGACCUCGGAUCAGGUAGGAAUACCCGC
rnacentral:rRNA from 1 species